UACAGAGGUCUCAAGCGUUGUUCGGAUUCAUUGGGCGUAAAGGGUGCGUAGGUGGCGCCGUAAGUCGGGUGUGAAAUUUCGGAGCUUAACUCCGAAACUGCAUUCGAUACUGCGGUGCUUGAGGACUGGAGAGGAGACUGGAAUUCAUGGUGUAGCAGUGAAAUGCGUAGAGAUCAUGAGGAAGACCAGUGGCGAAGGCGGGUCUCUGGACAGUUCCUGACACUGAGGCACGAAAGCCAGGGGAGCAAACGGG
rnacentral:rRNA from 1 species